CCUACGGUGUGCAGCAGUGGGGAAUAUUGGACAAUGGGCGAAAGCCUGAUCCAGCCAUGCCGCGUGUGUAAAGAAGGCCUUCGGGUUGUAAAGCACUUUCAGUGGGGAAGAAAGCCUUGGGGCUAAUACCCUCGAGGAAGGACAUCACCCACAGAAGAAGCACCGGCUAACUCCGUGCCAGCAGCCGCGGUAAUACGGAGGGUGCGAGCGUUAAUCGGAAUUACUGGGCGUAAAGCGCGCGUAGGCGGUCUGAUAAGCCGGUUGUGAAAGCCCCGGGCUCAACCUGGGAACGGCAUCCGGAACUGUCAGGCUAGAGUGCAGGAGAGGAAGGUAGAAUUCCCGGUGUAGCGGUGAAAUGCGUAGAGAUCGGGAGGAAUACCAGUGGCGAAGGCGGCCUUCUGGACUGACACUGACGCUGAGGUGCGAAAGCGUGGGUAGCAAACAGGAUUAGAUACCCUAGUAGUC
rnacentral:rRNA from 1 species